UUACGGUGAAACCAGGUUGAAACACCUGUUACCUUACGAUCACCGAAGUUAAACAACGUCGAGCCUGGUCAGUACCUAGAUGGGUAACCGCUUUGUAAUGCCAGGUUCUGUA